CAGAAAAAGGAGCUAGUGUAUGUUUUUGUUUGUACGAGGUUUACCACAUCAGUUGGGUUUUUCCCUUGCGUUUCAGAGUGAGUGGGUUUUUUCGUCUUCGAAUUUUUAUUUGUUUCAUAGGAAGCAGCAAGACAUCCGUGGGUUCCUGAUGUAACUCCCAAAUGAGCAAAAAGGCCUUUCCUUUCUUCUUCUUUGUCAUUUUCCUUUUUAUCUUUUAUUUCUUUGGAUUCCGAUCAGAUCCUCCUAAAUAAUUCCCAAUAAUUCCUUUUCGCACAGUUGAUAGAUCUGUUGGGUGGGCAGUGAAAGCUUGGUGAAUGGGGUUUCAGACUAUGGCUUCUCAAGCUAACGGCCAGCAGUCUCAUUUUCAGCCGUCUCCAUUGUUGAGGCAGCCCUCAUGGUAUAGCCUCACUCUUGAUGAAGUUAAAAAUCAAUUAGGAGACACGGGAAAGCCACUGGGCAGCAUGAAUCUUGACGAGCUUCUACAGAACUUAUGGACUGCUGAAGCAAAUCAAUCCAUUGAGAUGGAUAUUGAGAACACCUCCUCAGCAUCUUCACUCCAACGUCAGGCCAGCUUAACAUUGGCUAGAGCUUUGAGUGGGAAGACGGUUGAUGAGGUAUGGAGAGAGAUCCAGCAAGGGCAGAAGAAAAGGUAUGGGGAGGACAUGAAAUGUCAGGAUACUGAGAUAACACUCGGUGAAACAACUCUAGAAGACUUCUUGGUACAAGCAGGUCUUUUUGCAGAAGCUUCUUUGAGUCCUGCUAUUGCAUUGGAUACUAUUGAAGUGGCCAUCCCUCAGAGUUAUCCACAUAACCUGGGGUUAUCGUCAUCCCCAUCAUUUGGUACACAUUCGGAUACAACGACGCCCGGGCGUAAAAGGGAUGCAUCAGAUGAAUAUGAGAAGACUGUUGAGAGAAGAUUAAGGAGAAAAAUCAAGAACAGAGAAUCUGCUGCACGUUCACGUGCUAGAAAGCAGGCAUAUCAUAAUGAGUUGGCGAGCAAAGUUUCGCGUCUAGAAGAGGAGAACAUAAAGCUCAAGAAAGAGAAGGGGCGAGAGGAGUAAGGAGAAUAAAAUGGAACAAAGGAAUUUCCCCACCAAGAGGAGAAGACCUUCUCUUUCCCUUCUUCAUCAAUGGUGCGUGAAGUGCAAAAUGGAGCAGAGUGUGAACUAGUUUUUCCUGCACUGUCUGAUUGUCUUACCCCUUUGGUUAAAGCUAUUUGGGGAGGCCAAUUUGUGUUGGUCACGAUUGAGUGCGGCUUUCUUUUGUCAGAGGCAUAAGUUUUUUGGUGGGAGGAAGAAGGGUAUGGUUCUAAAAGAUGUGCAGUGAUGACUAUUGUUUGGGUACUUUUGGGGGAGAUGAGAGUAAGAUAUUUGACAUGUGAGGGGUGAUGAGGUGGAUUAUCUGUGGGAAAGUGUUUGCUUCCUGCAUCUCUUACGUCUUUGAUCUCUUCAGAGUUUUGGGAUAGUUCUUUGUUUGCAAAUGUUUCAAAUUGUAAUGCGAGUGCUUUUUAGUGUCCUUUUCUUUGUUUGGUUCACUGUUGUUUUUAGGCUGUUUUGGUGCUGUUUUUUUAAGCUCUCCUGAUCUCUGAUCAAGGGACUUGUCCAUUGUUUUGUACUGUUUCUUUAUGUUUAAUGAUAGUUUGUUUCCUAUAUAACAAAAGAUUGUAUUAUGUUAGUUAAUCUCUAUCACUUCGCGCAUACUUGGCAUUAUUAGUUAUGUUUUUUUCCUCUUUGUUUUUCUUUUUGUUUCAAUUUUGUGUGAUUUUUUCAAUCUUGCUACAGAGAUUAACGUCUCUGGUACUCAGACAAGUCACACCUGUUUUAAUGCACGAACUACUUUUGGGUUGCCAGAAGAGAUCCUGUUAACGAGACCCCUCUCUUUUUUUUUUUCCUUCUUUUUUAAAAAGACAAUUACAAAGAAAUGUGAUGUGGAUACCAUGGUGGGACUCCUUGAAUUUUAUUUUGGAGGUGACAUUUUGAGAGAUGGAGGAAAGUAGUUCCGUGGUUGACAAAUUUUGGAGUUGAAGUCAGUGACCCACUUUGACCUUUUUUUGUAUACCUUAGUGGUUGACACUUUAAGUGGUUCAGUGGAUAUUGCAAAGGAGCUUCAGCCAGUAGAGAGACUAUUAAUUGGUAGGAAAGUUUACAAGUUUCUCAUUUGCAAAUUCUCAGUGAUACAGGGUAAUUAUGAAUCUGACAGUUGAGCCUUUUUUAUGCAUUAUUUGGUUUUACAGUAAAUAGGUCUAAAAGUUGAAUUAGCAAGAACCAAAAUUGGAGGCUGCAGGUUGUGUAGUUGACCUAUGAAUAGUUGUUCAGCAGCAGUCCAUGCACUCUUACUUUUUGGGAUCCAAUUGUGGAGAAAGUAGAGAAGAGGUUGGAAGAGUGGAAAACAGCAUAUUUCUAGAGGAUGUGCUUACAAUUAUAAGCAAGUGGCCAAAAGCUUAGAGAAACUAAUGAAAAUUUUUUGUGGAAAGGUUUUGGAGAAAGGAAUAGAAUUCAUUUGGUAAAAGUGGGAAAUUUGGUUUUUUUGCCAUGAGAAGGGUGGUUUUGGGAUGGGUAAUUUGGACAUGAUGUGACUGCUUGGGAAGUGGUUCGGGAGAGUUCCUUUGGAAAGGGUACUUUUGGCAUUACCAGCAUUAAACCAAAUAUGCCUUACAUGUGAAGGGUACCUUUCGGAAGUGGUUGGGUUAUGCCUUACAUGUCAAUGGCUAGGGAUUCUAAUAUAGUGGAAUAAGAAUGGAUAGGAAGAAAAAAGAGAUCCGGACUCAUCCUGGUCUUUGGCAUCACACCAAAGGUUUCCAGUAGAGAAAUUAGAAAAUUCCGGCAUCGCACUGGCCUUUGACAUCACACCGAAGGUGCCUUGGAAUCACUCUCCAAGUCAACCUGUGCCUCACACACAAGCAGAACCUAUCUAGCUAUUUGCUAGUGUUUUCUGCCUCUUCUUAUGGUUCUUAUGGUAUGGUAAGCACAAAAAACUUUAUCAACUUCGACAUUAGUACUUGAAUCUGUCAGAAGGUCGACAUCGUUACCAGCAAUGAAGGGAUUAUUGUGCUCAUGUUCUUUUUGGCUUUCUGGAGAUGGUUUGAUCAUAAAUCAUGCUGUAUUUUUCUAAUGUCAUUUUACCAUUCCGAAAUGCUUUUCCAUUGUUUCACUUUGUAUUUUUUUCUCUGCAGGAAUUUGAGAAGAUGUUGCCAUCUGCAUUAUCAGCGGAACCAAAAUAUCAGCUUCGAAGAAUAAGUUCAGCCUUUUUCUGAGUUGUCUCUGCACCCAGCAUUGUAGUUGUCAAGUGUCGGGACUAAUAUCUUGGCUUCAUGUAGGUUCUCAUCACCAGAUGGCUGGUCGGCCCUGCCACUGAUGUGCAUCUGACCUUUGAACCGCACCAGUAGGAUCCUGUUGUGUAUAUUUAUGAUUAGCUGAUCUCGUAAAAUAUACCGCAGCAAAAUGUCAUGUCUAUAGUUUUUAGUUCUGUUUUGCUGGGAAUACAAUUUCAAGAAAAAAAGAUUGAGUUCAUUGUGUUUGAGGGUGCACAUUGUUAUGAUUCUAUUUUGGGCAAGCAAGGGGUAUAUAUUGGUUUAA